GACUAAAUGAAAUACGGUAUCCUGGAUGAGAUCCUGAAACAAAGGAAAUUCGGUAAAAACUAAGGAAGUAGGAAUUAAAAUAAGGACUUUAGUUGAUUAUAAUGUAUGGAUAUUUGUUUGUUAAUUGUGACAGAUGUACCAUGCCAAUGUAAGAUGUUAAUAACAGAGAAAAAUCGAGUGUGAAGUACACAG